UACGAAGGGGGCUAGCGUUGCUCGGAAUCACUGGGCGUAAAGCGCACGUAGGCGGAUUGCUAAGUCAGGGGUGAAAUCCUGGAGCUCAACUCCAGAACUGCCUUUGAUACUGGCGACCUUGAGUCCGGGAGAGGUGAGUGGAACUGCGAGUGUAGAGGUGAAAUUCGUAGAUAUUAGGAAGAACACCAGUGGCGAAGGCGGCUCACUGACCCGGUACUGACGCUGAGGCGCGAAAGCGUGGGGAGCAAACAGG
rnacentral:rRNA from 1 species